rnacentral:rRNA from 1 species
UGGGGAAUAUUGCACAAUGGGCGCAAGCCUGAUGCAGCCAUGCCGCGUGUAUGAAGAAGGCCUUCGGGUUGUAAAGUACUUUCAGUCGGGAGGAAGGUGUCAAGGUUAAUAACCUUGGCAAUUGACGUUACCGACAGAAGAAGCACCGGCUAACUCCGUGCCAGCAGCCGCGGUAAUACGGAGGGUGCAAGCGUUAAUCGGAAUUACUGGGCGUAAAGCGCACGCAGGCGGUUGAUUGAGUCAGAUGUGAAAUCCCCGGGCUUAACCCGGGAAUUGCAUCUGAUACUGGUCAGCUAGAGUGUGGUAGAGGGGGGUAGAAUUCCAUGUGUAGCGGUGAAAUGCGUAGAGAUGUGGAGGAAUACCGGUGGCGAAGGCGGCCCCCUGGACAAAGACUGACGCUCAGGUGCGAAAGCGUGGGGAGCAAACAGG